rnacentral:rRNA from 1 species
GACGAACGCUGGCGGCGUGCUUAACACAUGCAAGUCGAGCGGAAAGGCCCUGCUUUUGUGGGGUGCUCGAGUGGCGAUCGGGUGAGUAACACGUGAGUAACCUGCCCUUGACUUUGGGAUAACUUCAGGAAACUGGGGCUAAUACCGGAUAGGAGCUCCUGCUGCAUGGUGGGGGUUGGAAAGUUUCGGCGGUUGGGGAUGGACUCGCGGCUUAUCAGCUUGUUGGUGGGGUAGUGGCUUACCAAGGCUUUGACGGGUAGCCGGCCUGAGAGGGUGACCGGCCACAUUGGGACUGAGGUACGGCCCAGACUCCUACGGGAGGCAGCAGUGGGGAAUAUUGCACAAUGGGCGGAAGCCUGAUGCAGCAACGCCGCGUGCGGGAUGACGGCCUUCGGGUUGUAAACCGCUUUCGCCUGUGACGAAGCGUGAGUGACGGUAAUGGGUAAAGAAGCACCGGCUAACUACGUG